GGAGCAUCCAUCCUCAACUGAGGCAGCUGAGCUUCAGCUAUAGAUUAAGUAAAAAGUUAUAAGUUGGCUUGCUACUCUGAAUUCAUUUUUAAGCAAAAUCAUCCUUGGAGAACAAUAGUUACAGAUAUAGGCCAGAAGAACCCUGAAAUUCAUCAAGGUGAAGUUUUGAGGUUUGCUGGAGUUAUUACAGCUGAUUUUGCCCCAGGCACAGUUCACUGGGGAGCUGGUACCUGGGGUUCCACUGAUAUCCCUGUCACUGGCAAGACUUCUAACAGGACACUUAGCAUCUUGUUAAUCCAAUGGCUUCAUUGA
rnacentral:lncRNA from 1 species